rnacentral:rRNA from 1 species
CAAUAGCGUAUACUAAUUUUGUUGCAGUUAAAAGCUCGUAGUUGGAUUUCUUUCCCUUGUAUUAGGCACUUCUUCCAUGAAGGAGUGUUCUGGUACGGAGGAAAACAUUUGUCGCAAACCGACAUGAUCACUUUAUUGGGGUCAGUCGUUAAGUGACUCGUUUACUUUGAGAAAAUUAGAGUGUUCAAAGCAGGCACUUGCUCUGAAUAUGUUAGCAUGGAAUAAUAACAUAGGACUUUAGUUCUAUUUGUUGGUUGUUCGAGAACUGGAGUAAUGAUUGAUAGGGACGGUUGGGGGCGAUCUGUAUUCUCAAGCGAGAGGUGAAAUUCUUGGACCUUGGGAAGACAAACAGCUGCGAAAGCGUUUGCCUAGGACGUUCUCUUUAAUCAAGAACGAAAGUUGGGGGAUCGAAGACGAUCAGAUACCAU